UUAUUUAAGUGUCGUGUUUUAAUCUUGGAGACCCGGGUUCAAACCUCGCUCUUGAUGACCUUCAUUUGUAAUUGUGUGUUUCUAAUUAAAUCAACAGGAUUCUCAAAUUGAAAUCAACAGUCAUUGGAUUUGACCUCAGAACUCAGAUUAAAACAGUUUGUUUGAUCAGCCGAGCCGCUGAGUCUGAGAAACUUUAUUUGUGUUUUGGAUGGGAUUUAGCUCAUUGAAUAUUUAAUAUUAUUUCAGUUUUUAAACAAUACACUAGAAUUAACACAAGCUUUGUGUGGUUUCAAUUUAGUUAACGAGCAAAUUAACUAAUGAAGCACAUAAUUGUUUAGCAGUUUUACUGAGGGAUUUGUAUUUGAUCAAACAACUUUUCCACUCAAAUGAAUAAAAUCCAUGACUUUCCGCCUGCAAAUCAGUUUAAGGCCACUAGUGCCUUUAUGAAUUUAUCUUGGGUAAAUCAUCAUUUGAUUGUUUUAAUGUAAACAGUAGUGAAAUAUGAGCUCACAACACUUUAUCACCUGAGCUUGUGCUGUGAACAUGUGCUUUGGACAGUUGUGUUUAGAGGUUUUCUUCAUAUGAUAUAAAAUAUCAGCAGUGGGAUCAAUACUGUCUCACAUAAACUUCUUAUUUUUAAUUAAAAAUGUCAGCAUUCAUGAAACAUAUUUCUGUUUAAAAUGUGCAAACAAUCACAAAAAUAGUCACCAAAAACUUAAUUCAUUUCAGCCUGUAAUUGAUUGAAAAUAAAUAACUUUUACAUCAAUUUUUAAUCUUAAUUUCUGCUGGAAUAAAAGAAAAGAGUUGAGUCAGGAGAUUUCUAUCAGUGCUGAUGAGCUUGAUUAGCAGCUUCAGAUGCACAAAUCCUCCACAAGUGGGCACAACAUUGACACAUUGAUCAGGCUUUCUUCAUUAAAUCUUUAUUAAAUGUGAUGUUUGUCUGUAGAUUGAUGUGUUGAUAUGAUGACCAGUCCUGAGCUUCACAUCCUCCUCAUCAGAGACACAGAGAAAGAUUCAGUCAAACCUGCUACUGGAAGAGAAAAAUCAGUCAAACAGUGCUGUAAUCUCAAAAAGAUGAACAAGUUAAACAUGUCUAAUAUAAGAGGAUACAGGGUCAGUAUGAAACAGGGUGUGUGUGUGUGUAUAGUUGGCAAAUAAAUGUACACAGAGGAAGAUUAA